GACGAACGCUGGCGGCGUGCUUAACACAUGCAAGUCGAGCGGAAAGGCCCGUCGGUUUACUCGAGCGGCGAACGGGUGAGUAACACGGUAGUAAUCUGCUCUUGGCUUUGUGAUAACUACCGGAAACGGUGGCUAAUACCGUAUACGACAACCGUCUGCAUAGGCGGGUUGUUGAAAGUUUUUUCGGCCAGUGAUGUGCUCGCGUCCUAUCAGCUUGUUGGUGGUGUAAUGGACUACCAAGGCUUCGACGGGUAGCCGGCAUGAGGGGGUGACCGGCUACACUGGGACUGAGACUCGGCCCAGACUCAUACGGGAGGAAGCAGUGGGGAAUAUUGGACAAUGGGCGGAAGCCUGCUCCAGCAGCGACGCGUGAGGGCUGACGGCAUUCGGGUUGUAAAACUCAUUAAGUACCGACGAAGCGACGAUGAUGGUGGUGACGGUAGGUACAGAAGAAGCACCGGCCAACUACGUG
rnacentral:rRNA from 1 species